CAGCUCCUCUGCCUGCUGUCAGAUCGCUUCCUUCAGCUUUUCCAAGUCCUGAGUCAGACACGUGUGCAACUCUGGGGUGAAAGACACGAGUUUCUUCUGCAGAUUACCUGUAUCAUUUGGGUAUGAAGCAUAUUCUGAUUUGUCUUUGUGAAUACCAGUUUAUUCUCAAGGAUUUUAGGUUGUCUUUUCUCUUUUUUUUUUUUUUUUUUCUAUUUUGUUUAGAGCUUUUCUUCCUGAUGGCUUAUCCACUGAGCAAAGCAACUUCUACCUCACCACCAGGUACAGAGGCAACUUCUUCCAUAGAUUUCUUCACCAGUUUUCCUUAGCCGUCUCCUUGGAAAGCAGAUACCAUGUUAUGGAAAUGCCAUAGGAAAAAAAGUGAGGUCUCCAGUCAACAGACCACAUGGAAUUGAAACCUGUCAACAAACAAGUAGUGAGUUUGGAAGCAGAUCCUCCAACCCCAUUUGAGCCUCAGGAGAGACCCUGAGACUAAAACACAAGCUAAGCCACUUCUGGAUUCCUGACAAACAGAAACUAAGAGGAGUCCCAUCAAAUUUUAGUCACAAAAUUAAAGGGGAAAGGAAAAAGGAAGGAGCAGAAUGAUGGAGUAGAAGACUCCACUGAUCACCGUCCACCCCUGACAAGGACACAAAUUUAACAACUAUCUACACAGAAGAAAGACAGAAAGAAAGAAAGAAAAAAAACAAAAAACACCUUCAUGAGAACCAGAAGCAAAAAUCAGAUGAGCACUCAUAGUAGCUGGUUCUGACUUCACAAUGUUGAAAGAGUACUACAUCAGCAACACUGACAUCUUGUUAGGGAGACUUUAAAGCAACUUUUGGGAACUUAUUUGCAAAGAAGUCCUCGCCAUAAAGAUCUAUAAUCUUUUCAACAACCUAUUUGGGAAAAUGCAUGAUACGGCCGUGAAAAACAUUACGUUCUAAGACAAAGGCCUAAUAUUACCAUGAGCAGCAUAGAGUGACGGAGAGAACACUAAACGCUGACUGGGUGCUGUUUUCAAUUUGAUCAUCAAGCGGCCAUGUGACCUUCAAUGGAUACCAGCUUUCCAUGAAGCUUCAACUCCUCAUUCAUGAAAGGGCAAAAUAAUACUUACCUCAACUUCUUUCUAGGGCUAUAGAGAAAAAAAAAUGUUUAGAAAGAAGUAAUAUUUUAAGAGAGCAUGUUGUUCUUUAUUGCCAUAAUAAAAGUAAUCAUAAUCUACAUUAUGAGGAUCACCUUGGUAUAGUAUUAAGCAUGACACUGAGAAACAGGCGAUGAGAGUUUCAGUUAUGCCUUCUGAAUUUAUUAUUGGUUGGCCUUGGAAGCUCCUUAACUUCUCUGCAUCUCUUUUGCUGCUUUUGUAAAAAGCAAAUGAAAAGACAACACAUUAAUCAUGGCAGGAAACUGGAAAUUACAAUCUUUCCAGGUUAAAACCACAUGUUUUGAAGUAAAAUCUUUUAGUCUAAGAUUUUUUUUAAGAUAAUGGAUAAUGAAUUUUCAAUAAUAAUAAUAGCAUAUUCUCAAUAAUCAUAAUACUUAAAUGUAUUGAACCUCUACAUUAUUUAAGAAAUAUGCUACUUUAUAUGUAUGUUAUUUAGUCUUCAGAAAAAAACACUCUGAGAGAUAUUAUUUUUGUCAUUUCACCACCAAGGAAUCUGAAUUUGAAAGGUUAAGUAACCUUAUCAAACUCAUAGAGAGACUAGCAAUAAGUUUGAGAUUUAAAUACAGUAUGAUUCUAAAGCACAGGUUUUGAACCAUUAUGUUCCAAUCUUCUCAAUAUAAUAUAAUAGCUCUGGGUAUGAAUAAAGAGUUUCAGUUUGAGUCUGUAAAAGGUCAGUGGUAAUUCGAGAACAAAAACAAUUUAGUCUUUAUAAGACGCAACAGUUGUGCCCUACUUGAUAUUUUACCCCUCUUUAUACUUUAUUUACACUGUGCCCAUCAUAUAGGAACUGGAUGUUUUAUACUUGAAACAGGGUUAAUAGCACUCGGUUAUAUGAUUUGACAGUCAGCUUAUAUGUCCAUUCACCUCACUUGAGAUUCUAGACCACACUGCCAAAAUAUUCAUUUUAGUUAUGAGAAAAAAAUAUAUUAGAGAACUAUGGAGAGAGGGAACCAAAGUUAGUUUAGGCAUGAAAUUGUUCUGAGCUGAGAAUUUUGCCCCUAGGAAUUUUAAGCAAAUAUGGAUCCACUCCUCCAUGAAUUAGAAACAUUUGUAGUUUCCUACAUAGUGCAGACCUGAGGAUUUCUUUUAUUCUUUUGUUCUUUAUUCUUUAAUUAGAAGAAUUAAAUUGAAUGGUUUCUGAAAGACUUAUGGCAGAUUGUACUUUCCAAUAGAGCUACAACAAUAUUUCCCAACACUUACACUCAACUGCAAUGUAAUUUUAUCUUUUUGGAAACUGCAGAGGAUUGGAAAAUGGGCAGAAAAACAGUUGUAUAUAUUACAUGUCACAUGUUACAUGUUACAUGAUUCAGUCAUUGAGUGAGGUGACAGCAGAUCACAAUUUAUUUUUUCCUUAGCACUUUGAUACCUCACUCUACCUCUAAAAACAUUUAUUCAUAGAACAAGCAAAGCAACCAUACAGAACUGACUACAGCCAAGAGUUGUUCUAAGAAGGGUAUUAAAAAGUCUUCACCUCCUACAUUCAGCUGGAGCAAGAACAAGGACAUUUUCUGCUUUGGAACUAGGAGCAAGGGUUCUGAAGGAAGAGCAACUGGUGCCAUUGGUCUCUGGCUUGUCCACUAGCUCAAAUUGUGGAUUUUUCUCCUUUUUACAUUUAAUGUCUAUGGGUUGAAAAAUAAACAAUUUAGCUCAGCUAUGUGGAUCGGCCAAAAAAAUAAUGAAAGAGCAUAAUUACGAAUGUACUGAAGUUACUUUAGAAAACAUUCAGCAGCAGUUGCCUAGAUUUUACUUUUUGCUGCACCUAUUUUUUUCUCAGAUAGAAGUGUAAACUCACAUCUAACAAAUAGCUUUUUUGACAUUUUUGUUAACCAGUCACUGUACUAGGUGGCAAUGAGUGAAUCAGGAAGACCUUCCCUACCCUCAUGUGGCUGAUAUUCUAGUAGAAAACAUAAACAUAACAUUAAAUUACAUUGCAAGAAGUAUUUGGAAGUAAGCACUGAGUUCUCUAAGAGUAUAAAACAGGAAGCCAUAACCUAAAAUGGAGUUUGGAGGGCCAUUUUUUUUUAAUGACAGCGAUAUGUAAUCAGGGACAAAGAAGAUGAGUAACCAUUGACAGGGUCAGGUUGAGACGAGGACCACAAUAAUUUCUAUAAGUGAGAAGAACAAGUAAAAAUUUCUUGCAGUGGUGGGGAGCAUGACACAUUCAAGCUAAUGAAAAUUAUUCAAUGGUUCUAUGUGGCAGAAAGCCAGAGGAAAUGAUCAGAAAUGAAUGCAGAGAGGGAGGAAGGAUCAUAUGCGGGGAUAUUUAGGCUUUGUUAAGAGUUCUGCACUUUAUCCAAAAUACAUGGAGAACCCAUUAAAGCGUUCUAAACUGAAGAAGAGUAAAACGGGAUUUGGUGUGUGUUUGUUUGCUUUGUUUUGAAAGACCAUUGCAGCUAUGCUGUGGAUAACGAAUUGGGGGAGGUAAGAGAAAAUGCUCCUAAACCACGAUGUUAGGAGGUUUGGUAGAAUAGUUAAGCAAAGAGGUAAUGGUGGCUUUGAUUAGGAUGGAGAAAAGAUAAUAAAUGCUAAAGUAUAUUUAGGAAGUAGAAUAAAAACGACUUGACAUUGAAUUGAAUGAGGAGUUAGAGUUAUUUUGGCAACAAAGAUAAAUCUCAGGUUAUUGGCAUGAAGGUUGGUGUCUUUUCAAAAUAUCAAUAAAUUUUUUGUGUUAUUGGGUUUGAAAUAACUAAAGGCAUCUAAGUAGAGACUGUGAGAAAUCAGUAGAUAGGGGCCAGUGGUAUAUUUUACACCAGAGGAAAAGCUGGGCAUGAAAAAUAAAAUCUGAAGAGGGCUUGAAACAAAAGCUUAUGGAUGCACAUAUAAAUAUAUAUGUGUAUAUGUUUGCAUGUAUGUAUUUCUCAUAUGAUUGUUUUAAUAAACUUCUCACAAA